AUUGAACGCUGGCGGCAGGCCUAACACAUGCAAGUCGAGCGGUAACAGGAAGCAGCUUGCUGCUUUGCUGACGAGUGGCGGACGGGUGAGUAAUGUCUGGGAAACUGCCUGAUGGAGGGGGAUAACUACUGGAAACGGUAGCUAAUACCGCAUAACGUCGCAAGACCAAAGAGGGGGACCUUAGGGCCUCUUGCCAUCGGAUGUGCCCAGAUGGGAUUAGCUAGUAGGUGGGGUAACGGCUCACCUAGGCGACGAUCCCUAGCUGGUCUGAGAGGAUGACCAGCCACACUGGAACUGAGACACGGUCCAGACUCCUACGGGAGGCAGCAGUGGGGAAUAUUGCACAAUGGGCGCAAGCCUGAUGCAGCCAUGCCGCGUGUAUGAAGAAGGCCUUCGGGUUGUAAAGUACUUUCAGCGGGGAGGAAGGGAGUAAAGUUAAUACCUUUGCUCAUUGACGUUACCCGCAGAAGAAGCACCGGCUAACUCCGUG
rnacentral:rRNA from 1 species